rnacentral:lncRNA from 1 species
CAGUUGCCGCCGCCGCCGCCCAGACGAGCUAGGAGUGAGGCCAGCGGACUCUCCGCCCAGUUUGGCGUGACUCACCCUCCCCGGGGGAGGGCAGGGACUGGCGCGGGAGGGAGAGAGCCAAUCGGCUACAGGUUCGAGAAGACAGGCGACCAGCCGGGCCAACGGAAAGGGAAGGAGAUGAAAGUGGGUGGGGACUACGGCACUUCCUCUCUCUUACUGGCUGGGAUUGCGUUCAAUGGGCGGGGCUGAGAGCUGGGAGCUCCACCCCCACUUUGCGUAACUGUGAGUUGGGGUGGGGUCUUGGCCUUGCCCGCAGCUGGGGGUCCGUCUGUCGUUAGAGCACUGGGAAAGAGGGCGGGCUGCUGGCUGGGAGGGGUCGGCGCGGUUUCUGGCGCGCAACCGGAAGGGCGUUAUCCUGGGGGAACUGAGAGUGGAAACUUUCCUCCCGGCAAAGGAAGAAACCCGACUGGAGAAAGGUAUGCAACAAGCUGGCAGAGCUGGAUCCAAAGGGCUCAGAAUGGAGCAACCAAGGUGCAUUCACCUGAUGCUUAGGUCUCCCUAAGCUCUUCCAUAGAAACGACCGUAUAUCACCUCAGCAAUUGUUUUGUUCGAGGAGUUAAGAUCUCAGCACUGCUGCAACUGAAGACAGUGAAAGGG